CUAAAAACCAUAAAACUCUAUCAUUAAUCUAUUGGUUUCACAGAUUCGAAAAUCUAACAGAUGAGAAAGAGCACUUGACUUACAGAGAGAAGGAAGAAGAUGAGUUCUGAUCAGUUCAAGAUCGAGAACGAAGAAGCGUUACCGCACACUCUGUUUAUGUUCAUGGUUAUGCCGCAGCUGCUCUCAGGGUUACGCUCAUGCUGCAAGGAUCCGAGAUGCCAAGAAACAAAAGAAAAAAUGAUCAAAAUGGGAUGUAUUCUCUACUGGGGAGGGAGUUUAAGAAACAUAGUGCUAAAGCUUGCAGCUUUUGGUGUUCGGUAGUUGUAAAGUUUUGAUCUUGGCCUCAAUAUUAGUUUCUCUUUCAUGUGAUUGAGAGACUACUAAUGUUUGUCACAAGUUUUGAAUUUACCCUUAUUGUAAAGUUUUGAUCUUGAGUCAAGAAGCCUAAUGUUUUGCUCUCUGAAGAAUUGAGAUAUUGUGUAAUAUAUUGGUUUCACAGAUUGGGAAAAUCUAAUGUUUUGAUCAAAAAAGGAUGGAUUCUUUACUGGGGAAGGAGUUUAAGAAACAUAGUGCUAAAACUUGCAGAUUUUGGU